rnacentral:rRNA from 1 species
GACGAACGCUGGCGGCGUGCUUAACACAUGCAAGUCGAGCGGUAAGGCCCUUUCGGGGGUACGACGAGCGGCGAACGGGUGAGUAACACGUGGGUGACCUGCCCUCAGCUCUGGGAUAAGCCCGGGAAACUGGGUCUAAUACCGGAUAUGACUUCAUGACGCAUGUUGUGGAGUGGAAAGCCUUGUGCGGCUGAGGAUGGGCCCGCGGCCUAUCAGCUUGUUGGU